rnacentral:lncRNA from 1 species
GUAGCUGAAAUAACUGCAGUCAGUCAGGUGAAUGAGUUCAUCUUGACAUCUUUAUUCCUGCCCUGCUGCACAUUUGCCAUUUUGUUAAAGAGUAAAUACAUCUUAAAUAGUUAAAACAGUUGAUAUUUUCACAAUCAAACUUCCAAACCCACAUCCUCUCUCACAUGUUCACACUAUAGUUUUACAAGGGAGAAGCAAGCCCUUUUUGGUUUCAGUCCUUGGGCAAAACCCCCCAAUGUCCAUGUUUUUGUCCCCAAAAGUCUCCCCUCCAGACAUGAUUACCGAUGGCCUGCUGGUCUUGUAUUCCGCAAUGACAACUGAUGUCCAGUUUCUAAGCAUUUACCUUUAGAUGUGUGCCCAUAACUGCCAGUCAGUCAAAGCACAGAGUAUAGACAGACAAGGGACAUUGUGUGAGAUGUAGAAUAUAACAGCCAACUAUAGUUCAGACAACUGUACAGUUCACAUCUAACACCAGAGGUCCACUUGAUAAACAAAUCAGACCUGCCAUGUAACUUGUUUAACAUUACACAGUAGAUCACUAUGGGGACAAAGAUCUACAUUUGUUUAAGAUUGGCUAUUUAUUUUUCAAGGUACAGAGUAUCUUUACUUUAUGGUUAUGGAGUGCCCUAUACUAAUACAACACAAAUAAUAUUUUGUUAAAAACACGUUUUUUUUCAUCACAGUUAAGACCCCAAAAUCAUCAACAAUAAAUUGAGAAUAAAACACAGAGAAGAUCAACACCGUCCCUGAAUCCCUCAGAGCUCCAGAAUAUAAUCUGUGGUCCACACAACACAGUAGAGGUGUUCCACCCAGACAGAGCCAGAAGAGAUAUAGUGGCUGUUGUCAGAGGUAAUGGUCAAGCCUGUGUGCAGCGUCUUCAUCAACAGACCCCUUCAUCCCCUGGGUCCAACAUAUGAAGGGUAGCAACCCAGGAAAGGUGAGAUGAUCUUGGGGAGUAUUGUCUGACUGCAGGGCCCUCAUGGUGGAGGGAGCAGCUCCUGGAAAACCACAUACAAGAGCACGUACUGUACGUAUACUAAGAAACACCACUCACAUGUAUGAUAGCAGCAAAAAGUCUGAAAUUAAGCAUUUCUAGCGACAGAAUAAAGUGAUUAUUUUCCAAUGUUAAGGCCUAUCUUCUAGACAAGAGGUCAAGGAGUUGGCUUUGACUGAAGUCUAAUGAGGCAUCACAAUGUACUACAGUAUAUGGGUCACUGUGGCUGAACUGUGGGGGUACGUACCUUAAAAAACAGGAGGGGGAAAUAAAAAGCCAGCGGCUCUUACGCGGUAAAAAAAAAAACAACCACUUAUUGAAUUCAGAUUGCCAUAAUUAAACAAUCUUAGUUUGGACUAACACACACAAAAACCAUUAGCUAAUCAGACAGGGCACGCUGUACAGAAUCUCAUCUGGUUGGACUGUUUCAGAGUUUGUUUUUCCUCAUGUCUGUUAGUCAAGGGAAAGAUAAACAAAUCCCAGAAGG